rnacentral:rRNA from 1 species
UGCGUAGGCGGCCUGACAAGUCAGAGGUGAAAGGCUACGGCUUAACCGUAGUAAGCCUUUGAAACUGACAGGCUUGAGUGCAGGAGAGGAAAGUGGAAUUCCUAGUGUAGCGGUGAAAUGCGUAGAUAUUAGGAGGAACACCAGUGGCGAAGGCGACUUUCUGGACUGUAACUGACGCUGAGGCACGAAAGCGUGGGGAGCAAACAGGAUUAGAUACCCUGGUAGUC